rnacentral:rRNA from 1 species
UGUGCGCGAGUCACUGGGAUCUUCUAAACCCAGAGGCGCAGUGAAAGCGUGGGGCUCGCCCGGCUUAACGCCUGGCGCGAGCCGCGAAGGGAGGACGGCCGGUCGUUCCAGACCGGUGCGGCCGGCCAGCACUCCCGGGGCGCCUCGGCCUCGGCCGCAGGCGCACCCGGAGCGCACACGUUGGGACCCGAAAGAUGGUGAACUAUGCCCGGCCAGGACGAAGUCAGGGGAAACCCUGAUGGAGGUCCGCARCGAUUCUGACGUGCAAAUCGAUCGUCAGAGCUAGGUAUAGGGGCGAAAGACUAAUCGAACCAUCUAGUAGCU